UACGUAGGGUGCGAGCGUUGUCCGGAUUUAUUGGGCGUAAAGAGCUCGUAGGCGGUUUGUCGCGUCUGCUGUGAAAACUCGGGGCUUAACCCCGGGCCUGCAGUGGGUACGGGCAGACUAGAGUGCGGUAGGGGAGACUGGAAUUCCUGGUGUAGCGGUGAAAUGCGCAGAUAUCAGGAGGAACACCGGUGGCGAAGGCGGGUCUCUGGGCCGAAAUUGACGCUGAGGAGCGAAAGCGUGGGGAGCAAACAGG
rnacentral:rRNA from 1 species